CACAGUGAACAUACUUGCCAAGACUUGCUCUUGUUUGCAGUGGCAGUUGAGGGGGUUCCCCUGUAUGCAUGCAGUGAGUGCAUUGCAUAGCAUAAGGCCACAAUGGAGAAAGUACUGCAGUGAUUACUAUUCAGUGGAGAACUAUAAGGCCACAUAUGCACCAACUUUUGCACCACUAGAUGAUAAAAGUGAAUGGGUCCAGCAAUGAAGACUUCAUCUGAGACCCAUUUAAAACCGUCACAAUCUGUACAAGUGAGGUUUGAUUUUGCAGUGGGCAGUUUUUGAAGCAAUGACCAGAUUCUCCGCAAGCGUAACAACCAUUCUCUACUGGUAAUUUCACCAUCUUGCAUUUGACAGGAUCGAUGGCAUCGUCAAACCAUUCAAAGUACUGACAGGUUG